rnacentral:rRNA from 1 species
UACGUAGGGUGCGAGCGUUGUCCGGAAUUACUGGGCGUAAAGAGCUCGUAGGUGGUUUGUCGCGUUGUUCGUGAAAACUCACAGCUUAACUGUGGGCGUGCGGGCGAUACGGGCAGACUGGAGUACUGCAGGGGAGACUGGAAUUCCUGGUGUAGCGGUGGAAUGCGCAGAUAUCAGGAGGAACACCGGUGGCGAAGGCGGGUCUCUGGGCCGUAACUGGACGCUGAGGAGCGAAAGCCAUGGGGAGCGAACAGG